rnacentral:rRNA from 1 species
UGCCUCAGUAACGGCGAGUGAAGCGGCAACAGCUCAAAUUUGAAAUCUGGCCUUCUGGUCCGAAUUGUAAUUUGUAGAGGACGCUUUUGGUGCGGUAUCUUCCGAGUUCCCUGGAACGGGACGCCUUAGAGGGUGAGAGCCCCGUACGGUUGACUACCUAGCCUCUGUAUAGCUCCUUCGACGAGUCGAGUAGUUUGGGAAUGCUGCUCUAAAUGGGAGGUAAAUUUCUUCUAAAGCUAAAUACCGGCCAGAGACCGAUAGCGCACAAGUAGAGUGAUCGAAAGAUGAAAAGUACUUUGAAAAGAGGGUUAAAUAGUACGUGAAAUUGUUGAAAGGGAAGCGCUUAUGACCAGACCUUUGCCUGGCGGAUCAUCCGGUGUUCUCACCGGUGCACUUCGCCAGGUUGAGGCCAGCGUCGGUUCUCGGAGGGGGACAAAGGCUUCGGGAAUGUGACUCCUCUCGGGGAGUGUUAUAGCCCGUUGCGUAAUACCUUUCCGGGGACCGAGGUUCGCGCUCUGCAAGGACGCUGGCAUAAUGGUCAUCAGUGACCCGUCUUGAAACACGGACCAAGGAGUCGAACAUUUGUGCGAGUGUUUGGGUGUUAAACCCUCACGCGUAAUGAAAGUGAACGGAGGUGAGAGCCCUUACGGGUGCAUCAUCGACCGAUCCUGAAGUCUUCGGAUGGAUUUGAGUAGGAGCAUAACUGUUCGGACCCGAAAGAUGGUGAACUAUGCGUGGAUAGGGUGAAGCCAGAGGAAACUCUGGUGGAGGCUCGCAGCGGUUCUGACGUGCAAAUCGAUCGUCAAAUCUGCGCAU